rnacentral:rRNA from 1 species
UACGGAGGGGGGCUAGCGUUGUUCGGAAUUACUGGGCGUAAAGCGCACGUAGGCGGCUUUGUAAGUUAGAGGUGAAAGCCCAGGGCUUAACCCUGGAAUUGCCUUUAAGACUGCAUCGCUAGAAUCGUGGAGAGGUGAGUGGAAUUCCGAGUGUAGAGGUGAAAUUCGUAGAUAUUCGGAAGAACACCAGUGGCGAAGGCGACUCACUGGACACGUAUUGACGCUGAGGUGCGAAAGCGUGGGGGAGCAAACAGG